GUGCUAUGAAUAUAUGUGAUUUGUUUUUGCGUUAAAAUUGUUAUCUUUACCUAUGAGUUUUAUUCUUCUUUGUUGUUAGCAUAAUAUUUUUAUAUAUGAUUUAUCAUCAAAAAUUAUGAUUGGUUUUAAGAAGUUUUCUCCAGCCAAACCCUUCUUUUACCUUAAUGAUUUCAGUCAUCGACAAAGUCAUAAAGUUACUCAUCCCUUAUAUAUUAAAAUAGGAACAUUAUUAAGAAUAAACCUUGUCUUUAUGUGUGAUUUACAAGAGUGCCAUUUA
rnacentral:lncRNA from 1 species